GAGGAGUUGGCUAAGCUAUCUUAGGGUAUGACUUCUCUGGGUAACCCACCCUUGCGUGACUAUUGUGCUAAAUUGAAAGCUUCAAAAUCUUCAAGCCCUAUCUCUCUGAGCCUCUUUGGCAAACACCAAAUAUCAAACAUAGUUAGUUAGUCUUCAAUUCUUUGGUAGAGUUACUGACCAAUAUUCACAGAUCAAAAAGCAUAAUUCCUUGUAGUAGUAUGGGGCAUAAGGCAUUGCAGAGCCAGAGAUGCCAUGUGCAGGAAUUAGGAUUAGUUCAGGCUACUGUACACAAACUGAUAUCUUUGCUACAGGAACUAGCUUGGUAGCUUUAUAAGGUGCUUUGUAUCUGUACAUAGGUUUGUGCAGCGUCAUCAAUGUUCUAGCAAGCUGUUGAAAGUGGGUAAACAAUCUAAUGUAAUUGGAUAUGGUUCAUUUUCUUCUAAUUCUCCUCCUAAGCUGAUGCUCUUGAAAGCCAAAGAUGUAAUCUUGGCACCUACUGCAUUGAACUUAAUCAAGUUUUCAGUAGGGAAAUGCAAGUGCGAGUUGUAAAUGAAUCAGAAUUUGAAAUUAUACGAGCAUCAGUUUUGGGAGGGUUUUGGACCUUAUAGUUCUAUCUUUACUCUUGAUAAAGCUGGAGCAGUUAAUGGUCUGACUGUCUGAGGUUUCAAUGAACUAGUGAAUAGUUGUGAUCAAGGAGUGAUAGAUUACAUGGGUAAAUGUCAAUUCUCGUCAGUUUAAUUGGACAACAAUUGCGGUAAUUUGAUGUAGUUGGUAGUUGUUCUAUGUAGUCUAAUAAAAUCUGCAGAAUUUUUUUGUAAUAUUUUGGAUAUGUGUGCAUCGAAUUAGAUUUAAUGCAAAGUCUAUUAUGCUGGAUGGUGCAAUGACAUCUCAAGCAAAUCAGGAUUCAGAGCUGAUGAAUUCAUACAUGUGUGACAUCAUGUGUUAAGAGCCAUUGUUCUUCCUUUGUACUAUGAUUUGUGGAUCUCAUCUGUCAGAUUCUUGAUCGGGACUUGCUGACCAUAAAGAUUCAUUGGGAGCACCACUUUGCCCUUGUAGGCACUAUGAUGAUAAAGCUGCUGAGGCUGGGCAAGGAUUUUGGAACUGUCCAUGUGUUCCCAUGAGAGAGAGGUUGAUAUAAUUAGUCUAAAAUAUGUCACCUUCUGAUAGUACGUAUUCCUUCUUGCAUGGCAGGCAUGUAACGUAAUUUCAUCAGAAACUUUUAUUUUUGGAAGGUGGAAUCUGCUUCUUGUGUGGUAGGCAUGUAACGUUAUUUCAUCAGAAACUUUUAUCUUUCUGGAAGGUGGAAUCUGUGACAUAAUGAUUUGCGAGGACCUCUUUUGGUCUUCUUAGUUUGGCUUUCUCAAUGAAGUGCUUCCACUUGGCAAAA